rnacentral:rRNA from 1 species
UACGGAGGGUGCAAGCGUUGUCCGGAAUUAUUGGGCGUAAAGAGCUCGUAGGCGGUCUGUCGCGUCGGCUGUGAAAUCCCGAGGCUCAACCUCGGGUCUGCAGUCGAUACGGGCAAACUAGAGUAUUGCAGGGGAGACUGGAAUUCCUGGUGUAGCGGUGAAAUGCGCAGAUAUCAGGAGGAACACCGGUGGCGAAGGCGGGUCUCUGGGCAAUAACUGACGCUGAGGAGCGAAAGCGUGGGGAGCGAACAGG